ensembl:lncRNA
AGGCUGGAUUUACUGCCAGAAGGUGGCAGGAGAGGAAGCUCUUUUCUGACAGUACUUACUCCGUCCUAAACACCUGGAGGCUCAGUGGGACACCCCCGCCUCCCUUCCCGCCCCUCUGGCGUGAGGAACCCAACCCAAGAGCUCAGUCUGCAGAGCGGGCAGCCAGCGAGGCCCUUUUGUACCUGUAUGAGACGAUGGAAGUCCACUAAACUCAUUGUGGCAAUCGUUUCAUAAUAUACUGAAAUCCCCACAGGUGGAAGAUGUUAACUAUAUGCUGUCCCAGACCAGCUGGAACCAGAAGGUUCAUGAUGUUGACUCCAGAUUACCCCACCACCCACCAAGCAGAAGAAUGUCCAUGAGUUGAUUACAUACCCUACAACCCUCCUCCCUCACCUUGUCUGGAAAAACCUUUCUCAGAAAAGCACCCAGGAGUGCAGGUCUUUUAAGAACUAGAUGCCUGGACUC